UACGUAGGGGGCAAGCGUUGUCCGGAUUUAUUGGGCGUAAAGAGCGUGUAGGCGGUCAGGUAAGUCUGACGUGAAAUGUCGAGGCUCAACCUCGAAAGGUCGUUGGAAACUGCUUGGCUAGAGUCCGGAAGAGGAGAGUGGAAUUCCUGGUGUAGCGGUGAAAUGCGCAGAUAUCAGGAAGAACACCUAUGGCGAAGGCAGCUCUCUGGGACGGUACUGACGCUGAGACGCGAAAGCGUGGGGAGCGAACAGGAUUAGAUACCCUGGUAGUCCACGCCGUAAACGAUGGGUGCUAGGUGUGGGCGGUGUCGACUCCGUCCGUGCCGAAGCUAACGCAUUAAGCACCCCGCCUGGGGAGUACGGCCGCAAGGCUA
rnacentral:rRNA from 1 species